UACGUAGGGUGCAAGCGUUAAUCGGAUUUACUGGGCGUAAAGCGUGCGCAGGCGGUUGUGCAAGCCAGGUGUGAAAUCCCCGGGCUCAACCUGGGAACUGCAUUUGUGACUGCACGGCUGGAGUGCGGCAGAGGGGGAUGGAAUUCCGCGUGUAGCAGUGAAAUGCGUAGAUAUGCGGAGGAACACCGAUGGCGAAGGCAAUCCCCUGGGCCUGCACUGACGCUCAUGCACGAAAGCGUGGGGAGCAAACAGG
rnacentral:rRNA from 1 species